rnacentral:rRNA from 1 species
UACGUAGGGGGCAAGCGUUGUCCGGAAUCAUUGGGCGUAAAGAGCGCGUAGGCGGCCCGAUAAGUCCGCUGUGAAAGUCAAGGGCUCAACCCUUGAAUGCCGGCGGAUACUGUCGGGCUAGAGUCCGGAAGAGGCGAGUGGAAUUCCCGGUGUAGCGGUGAAAUGCGCAGAUAUCGGGAGGAACACCUAUGGCGAAGGCAGCUCGCUGGGACGGUACUGACGCUGAGACGCGAAAGCGUGGGGAGCAAACAGG